AGCCAGAGGGGGUGAGUGAGUGACGCGGAGUCACCUUCUCAUGAGCCUGCAGUAAACUCAAAGGAGACCUAAAAUACGACAUCUACAAUGCCUGUGGAGUGUCGCUUCUGUGUUGUUUUAAAACAAUGCCCAGCUGUUCUCUUCACUUGUUCUUAUUUUUGUUGUCUCUGUGAGAUGCAGAUAGAUAUAUAUGCAGUGAUGAUGGAUACUGGAAAAACUCCAAAGGAGAAAUAACCCCUCCUGUCUGUGAACCAGUUUGUGGAACACGGAGAAGUGGAACUGUGGCAUGUAUAUAUGGAGGAAGGCGAGCCAAGCCUGGAGAAUUUCCCUGAUAGUGCUGUGGAUUCUUGUAAGACUGCAGCUUUUGAAGGAACGCACGUCCAGUGAAAGCAUGCAAGAGCAUCCAGGUACCUUACCCCACUCCCUCAGGUAUGGUGGUCGUUGAAGAAUCCCAGCUGCACCCUGUGUUUGGGGGGCCUUUACGUACGAUGCUGUACGCCUCAAAGUACCUCUGCAGGUACCUGCUGUACACAGUGUAGGGACAGCUGUACAGCCCUUGCCUUAAUGAAGUUCCUCCCAUCAGCUGCAAAAACUGUUUUUCUGAACAUAGUUUUAUAAAGAAUAAGCUUUCACAUUCAGAUUUAUAAUUUCAGUACGUGUUCAGCUGACAACAUUCUCAGAACUAAUUAGAAGCAAGGUUAUAAAAAAACAUUUUGACUACACUAUGUAUCCCCUUACAAUUACAUAAACUCCCUCUUUCUUGUAUCUCACAUUCUUUCAUUAGCAUUUAUUUCACUUUCUAGAAUAUAACUGAAAAUGCAAUCUCUUUAAAAAAAAA
rnacentral:lncRNA from 1 species